rnacentral:lncRNA from 1 species
UACAUAGUAAUACGUUAAAAAUUCAAAUUCCAUUGAUAUUUAUACAACACAUUCGCACAUAACAGCCAGUAGUACUACUUUCAAUACUGUUCAGGUAAUCAAGUGAAGAUCCAUAUCUAAAUGGUCUACUCUUAAUAAAUACAUGUAGGAGAUAACUCUUAAAAAAGUGAAACGCUCAAGAGAAUACAAUAUAGGGAAUAAGUUCACAAAUAUAUCCCAUCAAUUAAACCAAACAAAGCACCUAAAUAGUACGAUGACCACAAGGGAAUCGAUUCUCCCAAGCAACCAAUGUUUCUAAACGAAGAAUCAACGCAAGCUAAUCCAAGCUUAUACACUCACUCACAAGAGAGUAAUAAGUCAUUUAUCAUCAAAGUUCCUCUAAAAAUGAAAAAAAGCUCUUAUAUAUAGUCUAGAGUUAAUUAUUACAACUUGUGGGCUCAAAAGUGACCCAUUUGCAACAAUAAAGUAAGACAACCCGCUUUGGCAUCUGCUUAAGCAUGCUGGGCAUAUGUGGGGCGCAUCUUUGGCCAUUUGCCACUGUUUUGACCUGCUCAAGCAUGUCAAGAGCAGGUUGGGCGCACCUCUAGAGCAACUGAGGCGCAUGUCACCUCCUGGGGACUUUUCAGCCCUAUCUUGCACUCCUUUGACCUCUUCAAAGUCCCUCGACCCUCCUUGAAGGUAAUCAUCAUCCAUUUGGAGCCUUUUGAUAGCACUAAGGAGUCGUCAAACACCUCUAACAUCAUAAGCAUCCCGUCCAAAAGUCCGAAGGCAAUUUGGAUUGUAUCAUCCUUUCCUUCUUGAAGAAGAUUCGUUCUCGAAUUUACAACCUUAAAGCAUAAGAGAAGAACAAACAACCAAAACAUACUCAAAGCACAAGGGUUAAUAUCAAUAUAUCCAUGCCAAGGAGGCUCACAUUUUCCAUACAACCAACAAUCCUUUGUUAUUAAUAAAACGAAUUCAUCAUACACUACACAAAGGUGUUCGCUAUAAGAAGCCUUAUGAAACAAGGAAACUACCAACGUCGUAAGACAUAAGUGUUUCAUUAUUUCACCAUAAGACCAUACCCAAGAACUCCUACCUCUAUCUAAAACAAAUCCAACAUCAACAUGGAUGUCAUCAAAUGCAAAGAUAUAGUAAAGAAAGAUAUGAAGUAGAUAGUCCCAUCCAAGGUGUUUCCAUACUUAAGAGUAGCAAGGUACUCAAGAAAGCUAAUAGUCAAGUCACUAGGAGUUGGAACAAUCCAGAAGGAAGUCAAGUCAUUAGGAUGCACAUCACCCUUCCUUUCAAGACAACCCAUGUUCACACAAAAUGCAUUUUCAACAAAAACACGGUCAUCAUCAUAGGUAAAAAAAUAGAAAAGAGAAGAGUUAAGGACACCAUUCUCAUCUAAAUUACCCUCCAUCAUAAGUAUACAAGAAGAUGAGACGACAAUUUAAGCACAUUAUAUUUUUUCCCUUCAAGCAACUUCCCACAAGAACUGCAUUCACCAAUGGAAUCAUGCUAUUAGCGGAAUUAGAAACCAAUUCAGCCAAACCAAAUAGUAUACACACGAAGUUGUGUGACUUUUUUUCAUGUCACUUAGUAUGCUCUUAAGACUCCUUCCUAUUACUUCAACUCGUCCAACCACGCAAGUGUGACAAGGAUUAGGAAACAAAAGUUGUACAUCAAGUACACACCAAGGACUCUUCCUAAAGCAACAAAUAGAUUGGGCAUUUAGAUUGCAAGACCCACACAAUUCAAGCACCAAAGACAAACUCCCUAAACGAAUCUUGAAGUCACUAAUACUCUCAUGAUAUAACAUGAUAUCAAUCAACUUCAAAGAUCUAGUCAAUAUGAGAAAAAUAUCAUCAUGCCUCCAAGGCUCACUGGGAAUAGGAGGGGCUAGAUACAUACUUUGGAAGCAACUGCUUGAACUUAUUAUCUUGUUCUCCAUAGGUGCUUUACAAGGACCUUACCUUUCAUGCAUCAACUUGGACCAAUAGGCUUGAUCCUUUUGCCUCUUUGUAGGAAUUUCCUUGGGAGGUAACUCCUUUCGAUCCAUGGGGUUAGAUGUUUCACCCCUUGUCAUAAAGUAUUCACCGACCCAUAUGAGUUUGACUAGGUCCCUCCUUUGAGUCAAGCCUUGAUCAACUUCGGAACCCUUGAAUAAGAACUCAUUUAGGCCUUUAAACUUAUCCUCAUGAAAGGUCUUCUUUGAAUCCUUCUUCGGAAGCAUUGGCUCAUGAACCUGCAAGAGAGAAGUAUUGGUACUAGGCAAAAUGCUAAUUCCAUGGUUAGCAUGUAACAAGGGCUUAGGUUUGACAAGUUCCACAACUAAGUGUUCCUUGUCUACCUCAUUCAAUUUAAUCCUUGGCUCAACAUCCUCACAUAACUCUCCUUCUUGAGCCAAGUUCUUCCCCUCUUUCUAGCUUCUUCUUCCCCUUCAUCCUCAACUUGAUUAGGUUGACUUUGGUUUAGUAGAACUUGGGGUAGUUUAAGGACGGUAUUUUGAGCAUGUCCAUUCAAGAAAAGCUUGAAAAUUUAGUGGAUUGGAAAGGGUGGAGUUAGGGAAGUUUAGACAACCUAUCAUGGUGUCCAUCCUCUUACUCAAUCCCGACACUUGACUUCAAACUUCAUUUACAUCUUGUUUCACACUCAUUAUGGCCGCCAUUAAAGCUUUCAUGUUUAUCUCUCUCGUAGUACUUUGGUUGUCAUCUCCCGAUGCCAUUGUACCUAAUAAGGAAAUAGUAAACAAAAACAAAAAACAACAAACAAGUUAGAGUUAAGGGAUCAACCUCACAAGCUCUUGGAGCACAAACCUUUGUUUUGUCUCUCAAUUAGCGCAGCAAGCAUUGAAAGAUCGUUUGUACUCCAAUUAGAAGACUUGGUAUCAAUUGUGGCUUGUGAUCGGAACGAAUUCUUGUUUGAAAUUAAAAGAAAAACUCAAAAAUGAACUAACGCACUUGAAUCAAGAAAGAACUACGAAAACAAAAGAGAAAAGCACAAAAGAAUGGACAAGAAAGGAAUCGGACUCAAGAACUAAUUAAUCAACUAAUAGAUCAAUUAUUAGUUGUUAAUUAGUGUUUAAGAAUCAAAAGAUGAAGUUAAGGAUCAAGAAAUGAAGUUAGAUUGAUGGAACCUUGCAAAACGUGAGUUGGAAGGCUCAAUAUACGUUUGGAAUACGCUAGAGCAUAUCGGGAGCAGACCAGGCGCACCCUGAGUGCAGGAGCUACUGGUUUGGACUACCUUUGACCUGCUUUAGCAAGUCAGGCGCACCUCAGGCGCAGGUGGCCCAAACCAGCUGGUACAAAAGGCGAAAAUGCCCUCAUGCGGUCCCCUUUUUGUCAUCUUCUAUUGGACUAUUCCUUGGUACUUUGGAUAUGUUUUUGUAACAACACUUUUGCCCACUUUUCCUUCCUCUUUCUUGGAUCAAACAACUUUUUGAUGAAUUUGCCUAUUGAAGAUAUGAACUUCUUCAAGAACACUAUGAACACCAAAAUUUCCAACUCUUUCACCUUUGCUCGGAAUGUGAUCAAAUUUUGAACCCAAGCACUUUUCAACCUUCUAAACACAUUGCAAACAACAUUAAGUUCCAAUUCUCAUCUAAUUUCUUCAGAUUUUUAAACCCACUUGCUAUUUUUUCAACCUUCAAGAACACAAAAAUGGUGAAAUUGUGAAACUCAUCCAAAUGGCACCGCCACUUCGAUUUAGGAUCCUUUUGGUGUGAAAAACACUUUCCAACACUUGUUAACCCAAAAUCCAACACCAAAUGAGCAAGAUCUAAGUACCUACUUCAAUAAUUUCUUCAAGAACAAGCUCAACAAUGGUGACCUUCGCCAAUACUCUUCCAAACACACUAAAUGAUCAAGUUCCAACCUAAAUAUCACUAGAUGGAACAAACUAGUGUAGAAACAACAAUAAGGACUCAAAAACACAAAAAAGAAAUUUGGAAUUUUCUUUAAAAUGUUUUUUGACACUUUUUUAUUUUUCAAUUUUUUAGACAACGAGACCCAAGAUUGACUUCGUGGGAACGAAAUCAAGCUCGGGUCGGAUACCAAAUGAUAUCAGACAAACUAUGAAAUUAAAACUAAACUAAGAAACAAAGAAUAAAAGAUAAAGAUAGAUAGGAAGGUAAAAAGAUAGACAUAAUGAAAAAAAUUGAAAGCAAACAAAGGGUAUAUAAACCCCUUAGGGGUCGUUUGGUGUGACGUAUAAGGGAUAAGUAGUCCCGGGAUAAAAUGAAGGAUCAUUUUAUCCCAUGUUUGGUUGGUUGUAUUAAUCAAUACCGGGAUAACUUAUCCCACCAUUUACACCAUGAUGAUGGGAUAAGUUAUCCCAUACGCAUGGUGGGAUAAGAUAUCUUGGGUAAUCCCGGAAUAACUAAUCCCGAGAUUAAUUAUCUCGGGAUAACUAUUUCCCAACCAAACGACCCCUUAAUCCUCAAUCAAUUAAACCAAACAAAGCACCUAAAUCGUACGUUGACCACAAGGGAAUCGAUUCCCAAGCAACCAAUGUUUCUAAACGAAGAAUCAACGCAAGCUAAUCCAAGCUUACACACCCACUCACAAGAGAGUAAUAAGUCAUUUACCAACAAAGUUCUUCUAAAAAUGAAAGAAAGCUCCUAUUUAUAGUCUAGGGUUGACUAUUACAACUUAUGGGACCAAAAGUGACCCAUUUGCACGAAUACAGCAAGGCAGCGGCUUUGGCAUCUGCUUAAGCAUGUUGGGCACAUGCGGGGCACAUCUCUGGCGUAUGUGCCACUGUUUUGAGCAGGUUAGGUGCACCUCUAGAGCAGAUGGGGGGCAUGUCACCUCCCAGGGGCUUUUUAGCCCCGUAUUGCGCUCCUUUGACCUCUUCAAAGUCCCUUGACCCUCCUUGAAGAUAAUCAUCAUCCAUUUGGCACCUUUUGAUAGCACUAAGAGUCUUCAAGCACCUCUAGAAUCAUAAGCAUCCCAUCCAAAGGUCCGGAGGCAAUUGGGAUUGUACCAUCUUCUCAACAACUUGUGACUAUUAGUUUCAAUCUCUAUUUUGAAUUUAAUGAAGUAUUUUGAGCAUCUACA